rnacentral:rRNA from 1 species
UAGGGGGCGAGCGUUAUCCGGAUUUACUGGGUGUAAAGGGCGCGUAGACGGUCUGACAAGUCUGAAGUGAAAGCCCGCGGCUCAACCGCGGAACGGCUUUGGAAACUGUGAGGCUGGAGUGCUGGAGAGGUAAGCGGAAUUCCUAGUGUAGCGGUGAAAUGCGUAGAUAUUAGGAGGAACACCAGUGGCGAAGGCGGCUUACUGGACAGUAACUGACGUUGAGGCUCGAAAGCGUGGGGAGCAAA